GAGUCGAGUUGCAAGACUCCAAUCCGGACUACGACGCACUUUAUGAGGUCCGCUUGCUCUCGCGAGGUCGCUUCUCUUUGUAUGCGCCAUUGUAGCACGUGUGUAACCCUGGUCGUAAGGGCCAUGAUGACUUGACGUCAUCCCCACCUUCCUCCAAUUUAUCACUGGCAGUCUCCUUUGAGUUCCCGGCCGGACCGCUGGCAACAAAGGAUAAGGGUUGCGCUCGUUGCGGGACUUAANCCAACAUUUCACAACACGAGCUGACGACAAGCCAUGCAAGCAACUGUCUCACAA
rnacentral:rRNA from 1 species